GACGAACGCUGGCGGCGUGCUUAACACAUGCAAGUCGAACGGAAAGGCCCUGCUUGCAGGGUACUCGAGUGGCGAACGGGUGAGUAACACGUGGGUGAUCUGCCCUGCACUUCGGGAUAAGCCUGGGAAACUGGGUCUAAUACCGGAUAGGAGCCAUUUUUAGUGUGAUGGUUGGAAAGUUUUUUCGGUGUAGGAUGAGCUCGCGGCCUAUCAGCUUGUUGGUGGGGUAAUGGCCUACCAAGGCGGCGACGGGUAGCCGGCCUGAGAGGGUGGACGGCCACAUUGGGACUGAGAUACGGCCCAGACUCCGACGGGAGGAAGCAGUGGGGAAUAUUGCACAAUGGGAGCAAGCCUGAUGCAGCGACGCCGCGGGGGGGAUGACGGCCUUCGGGUUGUAAACUCCUUUCGCUAGGGACGAAGCUUUUUGUGACGGUACCUAGAUAAGAAGCACCGGCUAACUACGUG
rnacentral:rRNA from 1 species